AACCUGGGCUGCUGAAGUGGAGCAUGUGAACUUAACCACUACACCACCAGGCCGGACCCCCAAUUUACAUUUUUAACAGGUAACUUGUCAUCCUGUCUGGUAUGGAUUAGAUUUGUAAAGUUUCCAACUUUUCUCUAGUUGUUCAAAUCAUUGGAUUAGUGCCGGUCACCAAGGAGUAGUUGAAAUCAGCAUAUAGAAGCACUGGCUUUGGGGUCUAACUUAGAAUCUGGUUAGGGUUGUAGAUGUCCCCAAAAUGAAACAAUCAAGGGAAACUGGAAGAGGAACAUGCAUGAAUGUACGAGUAUAUAUUGUAUGUGUGAGUAGGCAUGAAUGUAGGAAUAUACAUUUAUAUAUAUAUAUUAAGCACCACAACUAAAUGCUCACAAUCACUAUAACCUAUGUUGUGAUUGUUUUAUUUAUUCCUAAUAUUGCUUUAUCUUCAACUGACAUUUACUUUGGGUUAUAUCAUGAGAUGUGAAUGGAUUGAGAAUGAGUUACGCUGGCAUCACUUUGCCUCCUUUCGGUCACUUCUCUUACAUGAUGGAUGACGUCAUGUCGUCCUCUGCUGCGCGUUUGUGGCUUAGCCUUCAUAUCUGAGCCUCCAUUUCAUCUAAGUGAAUGACUCAAGCAGUAGGAACACAUUAUAGAAUUUUCUUGGAAAUUUUACAGUUGGAAAGGACUUCAGUGAUCAUCUUUUUCAUGGGUUUCGCACUGUGUUUUGUGGAAUCUUAGGUAGCUCCUUUAGGGUGUCUCAGAGCUGCCUGGCUGGGACGCAGACGUGGGUUGAGGCUGGCAAUGCUCUGCCUGCCUCCCGCGUUCACUGGAGAAGCCUGCUCACCUGUCGAGCUUUUGUGCAACAUUUUGUUUGGAGAAAGCUUAAUGCUGCUACAAAGUUGGAAAAUCUCUCAUCUUGUCCAUACACUAAUUUUCAUGGGAUGACUCUGAGGACAGGAUUGUAAAAGCAUUUUCCCAGGUCUUAAUGAAAGAAGCAGGAUUUUCCCCUAACAUGUGGUGUAAGUAACCCACUAAUGCCAUUUCCCACACAGAUAGGCUGGUGUGUAAAUGAAUUGGCAUGAGUUGUUUACUGAGAAGCCCAACCAUUUCAAUAAGAAACAUAGAGUUUGUAGAGAAAACUGGAAUUAAGAGUUACACAAUAGGGCCAUGAAAGAAAAAUAUUAUGCCAGUGUGUGAUAAAAUAAUCUUCUUGCUUAAAUUAUACUGCUUUGUUUAGGUCUAUGUUUAAAUAUAACAGCAUUUACCAUAAUCCCUUACAGAUAAAUAGAUGUCCAAUAAACUUUUUCUAACUAUUUUCAGAAAUAUUUAGAAGGAAGCUGCACAGGAAUUAGCAGAAAAGAAGGAGCAAAAUAUUUUUCAGUAAGAAUUAGCAAAAGAAUUAAUUAACCCCCAUUUAGCACACUAUCUCAUUUUGAAGUCACCGUGCAAAUGUAAGGACGUGCCUACCAUUUUCAGGUUAGUAAGACGUGAAGAUUCAAAUGCUGGAAUAUCAGCAGAAAUUCUCAUUUUUCUAGGAGGAAAUGGAUUUAUUUUUGGUAGUUUCAAAGGUCUGGUUAAGAGCACCAUGAAAGAUUGGUGGAGGCCUCCUGUGGGCAGGAAUAGUAAUCAGAGAAUUUAACCACCAGUAGGAUGUGAGCCUAAAGCAAUCAGAGUGGUUGUUGGCAGUAGGGCUGGAGCGGGCGUUUGGGGGUCCUCUGCUGUAUCAGAUAUUACCUUUGCAGUUGCUGGAUGCUGGCUGGAGGAAGGGAUGCAGGACUCAGGAUGGUAACCAUUUGCCAAGUAUUAUAAAAAUAUUUCAGUGUACUGAUGUGUGCUGGCUGAGAUUUAGCCCUUGUUAUGGGAAUAAAGAGUCUCUCUUUGAAGAGUGCUGUGCUGGAAAUUUAUCUGGAUCCACCAUAUUUGUUUCUUAAAUCUCUCCUCCUACCCAUUUGUGCACUUGUGCAAAAUCUGUUCUUGAGUUUGCUCUUCGAAUGCAGACAUCACUCCUCAGGACCUCUGCUUUGCCUCUCCCUCUCAUCUACUAAUAUCUUAGGCUUUGCUAAAUCAGCUGCCUCUGCUAUGCCUAGUGACUGACCUCAGGUCAUUGUGCUUGAUCACUUUAGGAUAAUUUUGGUCGCUCAAAGAAUGCUAUCACACUAUCCAAUGUAAGGUGAGGAAAAUACAGAGACAGUGCAGGGACCUUUGAAAGUUAAAAGGGAGGUGCUUCAGAUGCAAUUAAUAUUUAUGCUCUGGUAAAAUACUUAAAUGAUCUGGGAGACAAUAAGUGGUAUUGAAUUUAGACCCUCUUUUCAAAAUAAAAAAAAAGACGACAAGCCUCUGGGGUUGAAUAAAAUUUAAGAUUAUUUAAUUAACUUAAGGAUACUUAAAAGUAUAUUUCGUUAUUAGAUUAUUUUCAGCCUUGCUUUCAUUAAACACUUCCCAACCUACCUGAUCAUAAAAAUCAUGUAUGGUGCUUAUUAAAAAUACCUAUUUCCAUGUCUACUGAAUAAGAAUUUCCAGGGAAGGACCUGGAAAUGUGAAUAUUAAGACACACCCCGAUUAAAUCUUAUGAACAAAUAAUUUGGGAGACUCUGUUCUAUCUUAUAGAUCAUGUUGUCAUAAGGCAGUGUUGAGGAACCAUCAGAAUAUUCAGUAGGAUACUCAGAAAAAACCUUGCUGCUAAAUUUAUAGAAGUAAUACUUUUGUAGAAAAUGCAUUAGUGCUUUAAUGUAUCAAUGUGUUAGAAUGAUAUAAGAAAAAAAUUGUGAAAGGCUUAGAAAUGGACAGAAAAGAUUGUUGGAUGUGCUCAAUGGAAAAUUAGGCAUGGUCUACCAUGCAAUUCCAGGUUAUGUAUUGUAGAUCUAAAACUAUUUUACAAUUUUAUAAGUAGGAGAAUACUGAUAAUGAUGUGAAGGAUUCUUUUCCAUAGAAAGGCAAAUUGUAUCCCAUGGAGAUGCAGUUGAUUAUUAUUAUAAUUAUAAUGCUAUAAUAGGACAUUAUUAUAGGACAGUAGGACAAUAGGAUAUUAUAAUAGGACAAUGAUUAUUGUCCUAUUGAUAUUGGCCAAUUUUUCAUGGUUUAAUCAUGUUUAUUUCAACAUUUCUCUUUCUCUCUCUUUUUUGGAUUAUCUUUCAAAAAGUUUGUAACAUCUUACUCUUUUCCUCAAGAACUAAUGAGUCAAAUAUCUUUGAGACGCGUUCGUUUACUAUUUAUAUGACAUUCAUAACUAUGUUCUCUUCUAAAAAUUAUCAGUGAACAGUAUGCUACCCACAUCUUUUUUAUCCACCCUAAGAAGAACAAGAACCAAGCCAACAGUCCCUCUAAUAUUGGUUUUCCACAGGUAUCAUGUACCCAAAGAGUAUGCAUAGUGCCUAGUUGAAAUUAAUCAACCACCCUGGAACUUUCCUUUUAAAAAGGACAUAGAGUAUUACAAGUUUUCAGGAACAGAGAAAACAGUUCUGGAGGCAAGGCUAGUCUAGAGAUUUUCUGCACUAUAUUAGACAACAUCACACAUGACAGUUUUCAGAGCAAGAGGAUUACUGUUAAGUUACUGCAUGGAAACCUAAACUGGGUCUUCUCACUUUUGUCUCUUUUUCCUGCCCUGGAAGAGAAAAACUCCAAUAUGUGCCCUCGUCUGGGUUGCCCAAGAAUGAAGAAAGAGGCUCAGCCAGGAAGGUUGGUUGGCAGAAGUUCACGUAGCUAAGUCAGUGGAACAGCCGGGAUGAGAACCCGUGUCUGUUCAGUGUCGAAGAUGGUGCUCUUAACCAUCCUGCUCUUCGUCAAUAUGGUAAUAGUGGCCCGAAAGAACACUGGCACACCCUAAAAUUAACCCUUUUCCUCCCUUGGCAUUAAAUAUACACUCAGUAGUUCAUACGUAUGAAAUCUGUUAGGGCUGUAUACCAGAAGAUGGAAACGUUUUCAGCUGUUAGAAAUACACUUUACUGAAGAGAUCAUUAAUAUGGGGGAAAAAUAAGCAUUUGACUAUUUUACAUUAAAAUGUUUUUGAAGUUUUACAAAGAAAAAUUAAACAAAACCUACAUUUAAGGAGUUACAGCAACAUCUUUACUGUUUGGAGAACACUAACAUUUACAGAAGACUGACGUUUCCUCACUGUCAUUGUAAAGAAGCCCACGGCCAGUCCUGUUUGCAGUAGGAAGCCCUGUUUACUAACUCGGAAGGGAUGAAAGAAUCAGAGACUCUUAUAACUGGAAGAGACCUUAGAAGUCAUUCAGACAAAUAGCUUGACGUUUUCCAGACAGAUGCUCGUGUCAUUUUCCCUUAAACACCUCCAGUGAUGGAGUGCGCCCUGCCUCCUGGGGCCUCGCAUUCCACUUCAGCAGCUCGUCUAAAGGCCUUUCUUUCAGCUGAGUCCAAAUCUAUGUCUGUCAUUUCCACCCCAUUGUUCCCUUUCCUUUCCUUUUCCCAAUGACAGCCCAAAUCUUCUUUUUCUGGCUCCUAUUCCCCUUUUUUUUUUCCAGUUCUUCCUUAUGUAAAAUGAUUUGGGAUCCUUUUGUCACCCUGAUGGAUUUUCAGUUUAUCCUCCAUGUUUUUAAAAUCUUCAUCCUUAAGUGUGUGGCUCCAAACCAAAGACAAUGCUCAAAGAAUUGUUAGCAAAUUGCAGAAUAAAAAAGUACUGCCAUCUUUCUUCACCCAUAGAGCAUGUUUUAUGUGAAUAAUAUAUAUAUGUGUGUGUGUAUAUGUAUAUAUAUAUAUACACACACACAAACACUAAAUGUGAUAAUUUCAUGCACAAUCCAAAGGACUAUUUUAAAACUCUGGGUAUUAAAAAUAUAUAUUAGGGAUUUGAGACUGCAAAAAGAGAAGAUUAGUGGAGUCAAGAAAUAAACUGUUGAGAAGUUUGAGGAGGAGGCAGCUGAGAUGGGGAAGGUCUCCCUCAUGCGCCUCCAGAGUUUUGGGAAGACCCCUGGGAAUGCGAUAUCACCAUUAACAGCUCCCAGUGGGAGACUGGAGACCUACAAACACUAUGUGAGCCAUACCGAUGGCCUGGGACGUAAAGAAUUAAUAUUCAUAAACUGAUUACAGAUACCGCACUUUUGUUGCAUUUAUAGCUGAUACUUCAAGGAAUAUUGUUCUAAUGUCUAUGAUUGUUGCUGUUAGCAAGUAUGUUCCACAAAGUCACCCUAGAGCCUGGCAAGAUAUGAGGAAAUUGUCAACUGAGUCAAUCACUUCAAGAAAGCUGACUACAAUGCAUACAGGGCCUGACAUGGCUGUUGAGCAUGCAGUGUAUAUCUGAUUUAAGCAUAUGCUGUGUCCCAAAGGCAGAAGAAUUGGCCUUAAAAUAAAGAUACAACUUCUCCCACAUUGGCAUUUCCUUAAGGAUAAGCAUCUUUCCUUAGGCUAGGAACUGACUGCUGUGCGCACCUGUGACCACCCAGCUCACUUGUGACCACCCCGCUCACCUGUGACCACCCAGCUCAAGACAAUAGACCUGCCAGCCUGCUGUGUCCACUGAGACAGCAGACCUACCUGCUGUGUCCAUCAAUCGCUGUGCCGUCAGAGCGGUCUCGUGACCAUUGUAAAAGGAUGCUUUGUGAAACAUCCUCUUUGAGGGUAUACAACCACUCUGUGCACCCCACUUCUUUGGUGCCCUUCCUUCCUUGGGGAAAGAAGGCCUGGGCUAUAUGGUCCUCAUCUGGCUCAGAAUAAACUCACCUCAAUUUUCAUUUAUGUAUUUGUUGUGGAUUAUUUACACCGACAUCACCAACGGCAGUGACUUGCUCCACCGCACCAGUCAUCGCCUGAACCACCCAGGCCAGCUGGCUCUAUAUUCAUGUUUGAUUUUGUAUUCUUCACACCGCUUACAAGUUUACUUGGUUUAAGGGGAAGAUGGCCAUCUUGGUAAGAAGCUAGAAGAAGGACUCAAAUUCUUGAAAGCAGAUGAUGGUUCUGAUGUUGAGACAUUUUCAUGUAAUGUGUGUGCUGUGUUUAUCUUCAAGGCAUGUCAGGAAAGCUGCUGGAAACGGCAAGAGACAGUCUUCCCAGAUCUCCAGCCAACCCAAUCUCAAUCAGAACAGUCUCAGAAAUGUUCAUCUCAAAUGACCAUUCAAGCUUAAUAGUUUAAAACAGAGGAAUGACGACAGCAUCCUGUAAAAAUUAGAGGGGAAAAAUGUUUGUGGAUCAUUUGUUCUGUGGUUAUUGUCAGCUUUUGAAAUCUGUAUCUUUAAAUGGAAAAAACUUAAUAAAAAAUCUGUACCAGGUUGAAAAAAUUAUUUUGAAGAUUUUCAAGCACACAAAAGCAGAGGGAGUCACAUAAGGGACCCCCACAUACUCAUCACCCAGCUUCAAUAAUUAUCAACAUUUUGUCAUUCUUGUUUCAUUUAUUCAUUUCCUUGGUUUUUAUUUUCUAGAUUAUUAUAAAACAUACACAUCAUAGGCAUCUCUGAUAGCUAAUUUCUCAAAAGUUUGAGAAUAUUAAAACAAAAUUUAAUGGAAUGAAAAAAGAAAUAUUAUAGGUAAAUAUUGCUACAUAUUUGCGUGCAUCAUUUCAUUUGGUAAGAAAAAAUUUCAGAUGCUGCAUUUUUUACCAUCCAAAAUAUCUAAUAGCAAAAAAAUAACACCUCACUUUAAAAAACCAAACUAAUCAGAUUGCUCCCAUGCCUCAUGACACAUGCGAUGUUUCGAGCUCUAGAUAUGUCUUAAAUCAUGUGGUAAAUUCUUCUAAACAUAAACGUAAUUCUUUAUCUCUAUAAGUGAUAAUUCUAUAGUAAAGUUAUUUCAAAGACUCUACUAUUAGUCUUUUUCUUUGAUUAUUGUUUUUUGUUGGAAAAUUGGUACACUUAAUACAGUUCCUCAGCUUAUCUCAAAAUGCUAUCCAAGGAGAAGAAUAUUUGUAGAUUUAAUAAGUCCAUUUUCUAUUUUAGGAACAAUAAAAGUGUGUGCAUAUAGACAUACAUACUUAUAUAGGUGUGUACUAUGUAUAUAAAUAUAUUAACAUGUACAUAUGUAUACAUUUAUACAUAAUUAAGAUAUACACAUCUUCUCAAGAAGAUAUACAUAUAUACUAUCGUAUAUGUAUAUAUAUUAAGAAGAUACACAUACAGACAUACACACACUCAGUGUCUUCUUGAACAAGUACCCACAUGUAAGCACUUCCGUUAUCUCUUGUUGACAUGCUGCAUGGUUAAGAUGUCCAACAAAUCAGCCACCUGGGGACACCCUUGGGCAGCACACUUCUCUCCCUCCAGCCCGGAUGCCACCCUGUGCUGUCCCUGUCACUGUGCUACCCUGAGUAUCCUUGCCAGGACACCUGUGCCUUCACCUGCAGGCCUCCCGUCUGGUGAAGUGACAGCCUCUUCUGGUUUGCGCACCUGCUGGACUCACACUGCCCGCGUCCACACACCCUUUGCCUAUGGGUGGCGUGUGGAGCUUGGAGAAAGUCAGACACCGGCCUAGGCGUGGAGGGCAACGGCGAGAAUUCAGAAGGAAGAGAAGCAGACUUUCAAUUGUGUGCUGUAUGUGUUCGUGAAGAUUUGCUGAACAGAACUGUGGUUUACAUUAUAUAUAAAAGGAAAUCUAAAAAACAUAACCCCUUUAAUUCUGAAAUUCAAUUAAUCAAUGACAAUGAAGUUUCCAAAGGUCCCAAAGAAAUUUUUAAAAUUGGGGCACACAUAAAAGAGGCGUUUCUUUAAAACGGUGUGAUUUCACACUUAUUCUGAACUUCCCUGCGGCUUCUUGUGGUACAGAAAUUAACCUGCAACACCUUUCCUAUUUCUCUCCUGUGCUGUUUUUCCAAUGAUUAAUGGCUUUAAAAAGGGAAAAAAAAUCUGUUUCGCUUGAAACUACUUUCUCCAACUAGAAAAAAUAUAAAAUUCUACUUUGCAAACCA